rnacentral:hammerhead_ribozyme from 1 species
CAUCCGGGGUGGUCUGCCAGGCGUGGUUGCCUGGUACUGAUGAGCAGCCGAGG